CACUCUAGCCAGACUGCCGGUGAGUAAAUCGGAGGAAGGUGGGGACGACGUCAAAUCAUCAUGCCCUUUAUGUCCUGGGCUACACACGUACUACAAUGGCCGUUACAACGGGAAGCGAAGGAGCAAUCCGGAGCAAAUCCCUUAAAGGCGGUCCCAGUUCAGAUUGUGGGCUGAAACUCGCCCACAUGAAGGCGGAAUUGCUAGUAAUUGCAGAUCAGCAUGCUGCAGUGAAUACGUUCCCGGGCCUU
rnacentral:rRNA from 1 species